rnacentral:rRNA from 1 species
AGAGUUUGAUCCUGGCUCAGGAUGAACGCUGGCGGCAGGCUUAAUACAUGCAAGUCGAACGGUAACGACCGGUAGCAAUACUGGGGCGACGAGUGGCGCACGGGUGCGUAACGCGUAUGCAACCUACCCUCAACCGGGGCAUAACGCCGAGAAAUUGGCGCUAAUAUCCCAUGUGUAUAUGGAGUGGCAUCUCUUCAUAUAUAAAGAUCCGUUGGUUAAGGAUGGGCAUGCGUAACAUUAGCUAGUUGGCGGGGUAACGGCCCACCAAGGCGACGAUGUUUAGGGGUUCUGAGAGGAUUCACCCCCACACUGGAACUGAGACACGGUCCAGACUCCUACGGGAGGCAGCAGUAGGGAAUAUUGGGCAAUAGAGGCAACUCUGACCCAGCCAUGCCGCGUGAAGGAAGACGGCCCUAUGGGUUGUAAACUUCUUUUGCCGCAGAGUAACCGCGGGGACGUGUCCCUGCCUGAGAGUAUGCGGCGAAUAAGUAUCGGCUAACUCCGUGCCAGCAGCCGCGGUAAUACGGGGGAUACGAGCGUUAUCCGGAUUUAUUGGGUUUAAAGGGUGCGCAGGCGGACCGUUAAGUCAGGGGUGAAAAGUUGGGGCUCAACUCCAAUCGUGCCUUUGAUACUGGCGGACUAGAGUGCAGGGGACGUGACUGGAAUGUGAUGUGUAGCGGUGAAAUGCUUAGAUAUGUCACAGAACGCCGAUCGUGAAGACAGGUCACGAAUCUGCAACUGACGCUCAUGCACGAAAGCGUGGGGAUCAAACAGGAUUAGAUACCCUGGUAGUCCACGCUGUAAAC